AUGUCUGUUUUUGUGUUCUCUGCUGUUUGCCUGUGUUUCAGGGGCCCCCUGGUCCUCCGGGUCCCCCCGGGCCUCCAGGGCCCCAAGGCUUUAGAGGACCGCCGGGCAACGAAGGCCUACCAGGGAAACCGGGUCUGGCCGGAAACGUACUUCCUGAUAAAUUCCCUCCAUCCGUCCCCAAAGUGGACCCCAAGCAGGAGCCCUGUGAAGACUGCGCGCAUGGCCUGCCUGGCGUGCCUGGCCGUUCGGGCACCAAGGGCGACAAGGGUGAGCAGGGUGAGCAGGGCAAACCGGGCAUCACGGAGGCCGACGACUGUGAGCGGUGCUACCAGAGGCUUCAGGGGGAAGAGCCUGCUCAGGAAGUAUCAAAUCCCACGACAACAGGAACUGUUAAUACGGGCUGUGCAGGUGGAGCGGGCUCACCAGGUCUCCCAGGACAUCCAGGUGAACAGGGUCCUGCAGGCCAGAGAGGGUUCGCUGGUCCUCCGGGUGCGAUCGGUCCUCCAGGCUUCCCUGGUCCACAGGGUCCUUCUGGCCUUCAGGGCAUGCAGGGAGAGAGAGGGACAGCUGGACCACCUGGCCUGA
rnacentral:lncRNA from 1 species